AUUGAACGCUGGCGGCAGGCUUAACACAUGCAAGUCGAGCGGAGAUGAGGUGCUUGCACCUUAUCUUAGCGGCGGACGGGUGAGUAAUGCUUAGGAAUCUGCCUAUUAGUGGGGGACAACAUUCCGAAAGGAAUGCUAAUACCGCAUACGUCCUACGGGAGAAAGCAGGGGAUCUUCGGACCUUGCGCUAAUAGAUGAGCCUAAGUCGGAUUAGCUAGUUGGGGGGGUAAAGGCCUGCCAAGGCGACGAUCUGUAGCGGGUCUGGGAGGAUGAUCCGCCACACUGGGACUGAGACACGGCCCAGACUCCUACGGGAGGCAGCAGUGGGGAAUAUUGGAAAAUGGGGGGAACCCUGAUCCAGCCAUGCCGCGUGUGUGAAGAAGGCCUUAUGGUUGUAAAGCACUUUAAGCGAGGAGGAGGCUACUGAGACUAAUACUCUUGGAUAGUGGACGUUACUCGCAGAAUAAGCACCGGCUAACUCUGUGCCAGCAGCCGCCGUAACAC
rnacentral:rRNA from 1 species